CCUACGGGAGGCAGCAGUGGGGAAUAUUGGGCAAUGGACGCAAGCCUGACCCAGCAACGCCGCGUGAAGGAAGAAGGCUUUCGGGUUGUAAACUUCUUUUUAGAGGGAAGAGCAGAAGACGGUACCUCUUGAAUAAGCCACGGCUAACUACGUGCCAGCAGCCGCGGUAAUACGUAGGUGGCAAGCGUUGUCCGGAUUUACUGGGUGUAAAGGGCGUGCAGCCGGGAAGACAAGGCAGAUGUGAAAUCCCGCGGCUCAACCGCGGAACUGCAUUUGAAACUGGUUUUCUUGAGUACGGGAGAGGUCAUCGGAAUUCGUGGUGUAGCGGUGAAAUGCGUAGAUAUAAGGAAGAACACCAGUGGCGAAGGCAGAUGACUGUACGGCAACUGACGGUGAGGCGCGAAAGCGUGGGGAGCAAACAGGAUUAGAUACCCCUGUAGUC
rnacentral:rRNA from 1 species